rnacentral:rRNA from 1 species
GAUGAACGCUGGCGGCGUGCCUAAUACGUGCAAGUCGAGCGAACAGAUGAGGAGCUUGCUCCUCUGACGUUAGCGGCGGACGGGUGAGUAACACGUGGAUAACCUACCUAUAAGACUGGGAUAACUUCGGGAAACCGGAGCUAAUACCGGAUAAUAUAUUGAACCGCAUGGUUCAAUAGUGAAAGACGGUUUUGCUGUCACUUAUAGAUGGAUCCGCGCCGCAUUAGCUAGUUGGUAAGGUAACGGCUUACCAAGGCAACGAUGCGUAGCCGACCUGAGAGGGGGAUCGGCCACACUGGAACUGAGACACGGUCCAGACUCCUACGGGAGGCAGCAGUAGGGAAUCUUCCGCAGUGGGCGAAAGCCUGACGGAGCAACGCCGCGUGAGUGAUGAAGGUCUUCGGAUCGUAAAACUCUGUUAUUAGGGAAGAACAAAUGUGUAAGUAACUAUGCACGUCUUGACGGUACCUAAUCAGAAAGCCACGGCUAACUACGUG